CCUCUCUCUCCGCCUCUUCUCAGAAUGGAUUGGGACAAUCGCAUACUCUACCCUGGAAAUUCUGUAGAUCAUUAUGACUUCUACUCUCAUGGAUCGAGGAUCUCAUCCCUGCGAUUUGGUUCAUAUGAAAAAAUCUCAAGCAGGAGAUGAGAUAAAGAUGGGGAUUGCACCUAGGAGAAAAGAAGUAUCCUUCAGAAGUUUCAUGGAAUUCUUCACGAAGGAGAGAUAGACAAAAGGGUGCAAUCUUUAAUCGAAGACUUGACUUCAGGAUGAAACAGAGACAAAUCUAGUGAAUUUAAGGAGGACUAUAUAUCUCCACUAUUCUAAUGUAGACUUUGAGGAAGUUGGUCACAAAUUUCUAAAAAUUAAGCAUUAGCCAGGUCACAAGGAGAGAACCUAUCUUCAGCAUUAUAGUCUCUUAGAGCAACUGCAAUGGUGCGAGUAUAACCAAAGACCAAAG